CUGCGCUGCUCCAGCCACCCCUCCCAGGGAUGUUGCUGAGGGCAGGGAAAGAGUGUGGAGAGUGACCAGGAGCCAGCCCAGAGCACCCCAGGCCCCUGUGCACCUUUGGCCAUGUCUAUUCACAUCCGGCUCCCACGGCCUUACCCGACCCCCUUGCAGUGCCCAGUUCCCUGUGGCAGAAGGGGAUCCCAGCACACCCUGGAAAGUGUUCUCAUCUGUGCUCCGUUCUAGAUGAGGGUGCUGGGAAGGCUUCUCCAUCAGCUUGGAGGAAGAAAGUUUUGAAGCCCUUGGAGCCUCCUGCAGAUGUGUCUACAGGGAAGACUUCUCCAGCUUCUCCAGCUCCUACCUUGGAUGCUAUACGCAAGCCCAGCUCCCAUCACAGUGGUACUCCAACAGGGAAAAUCCAAGAUAGAACAGAUAAGAUGUCCCUGCAACCAUCCAAACAGAUGAGGCAAGAGCUGAAGGAACCCCUGCAGACAAGGCAAGAGAUGGGCAUAGUGCUUCAGUGGAAGGUGGCAUUUCUUGAAGGAAGCACUCCAUCUUCGGUGCCAGCCCCUGCUGCAGGAAGGAAGGCGAUGCCAGACACGGGCACAGGCACAGCAG